GAAGAAAGGAGAGAGGGUCAUUGAGUUGAGACUUUUUGUGAUUUUUCAAUUUUUAAUUCCAACCGUUGGAUAAUUUGUUUGCCACGUGUCUCGGAUUUGUUAAAAGAACUUGAAAACUGAAGGAUAUCCUACUGGAGUGGAUGGAUCUGAACUCCUUUCGGCGGUCACAAAUAAACCCUAUUUUUUGUUUGAGAGUGAUGAGGGUAUGCCAGCUUUAGUACCAGUUCCACCACGCACGACCAAGGAAAGCAAAGAACCACUUUUAGAUAUUUUUGGUCACAAAUUCCGAAAGCAACGGAACGUGUAAAAAUCAUGUCACAAUAAUAUAAUCGCCACAUAACCGACACCAGUAGAUUCAUGCAACUUUCAUUUCUUUCAAACUAUAUAGUUAAUCAAAUAUACUCCAUAAGAUAAAGCACCAUCAGCUCUAUCAUACACUUUCCGUGUUCCCUCUUCAAAAAUUUUCUCUUACAACAAACCGUGUCAGAUAAAGUUUCUGUGGUGCUUGGUUUAAAUCAGUAAUAUUGCAGUGAUUUGUGAGUUGUGACAUUGAGAUUAAAGAUCUAAUUUUUUGAGUUAGUUAUUGUGAAUUUGUGAUUAUGGAGACACUUGUUUUUGAGCAGCAUAAGAAUUUGUCACAAGACUAUGGUAGAUUUGAGUAUUCACCUAGUAAAGAUUUUAGAGGGAUUAAUUGCAGGAAUUUUGAGUCUGGUUCAGGUGUAUUACCAAAUCCAUUGAAAUCUAAGAGUUUUGAUGAAAACCCUAAUUUGGAAACUACUCCUAAGAGCACACCAAUUCCAAUUAAUGGAAAAGGUUGUAGAAAAGAGAUGACUUUUGAUGAAGAUUUAAGUGGUGGGAGUUUGUUGUUAUCUGAGUUAUGGGCUGGACCUACUUAUUCAAAUUCACCACCACCUAGUUCAUUGCCGAUUCCGAAGUUUUCAAUGAGAUCUAAAAGGAGUGUGUCUCUUGAUCUUCCUGGUUCGUCACCUGAGAUUGAAUUAUGUGUCAUGGCUAAGUCUGCGCCGUCUUCUCCAAUUAGGGAGCGUUUGGAUUUUACUAGGGAUAUUUUUGAUAAUGCGGAUUCGGCUACUGAGACCCUGCGUCGAAUUCUGAAUCUUAAUAUCAAUGAUGAUUGAAAUACAAGAAGCUGUGUGAGUGAUCGUGUAAAUAAGUGUUUGCAAUGAAACUGGGUUAGUUAGUGGUAGAUGUAUAUAAAGGUUCAAUAAAAUUUGUUUAUGAGUUGGUUUGAGUGUUUAGUAGCUUUCGGUUUUUGUGGUUGCGGUUGUGCACUUGACGAUCUUGGCUUGGCUUUAGUUGGUCAACAAUCUCAUGAGUCGUGAUUUUGGAAAUGGAUUAGGCUUUGCAGUAGAAAGGAUUACUUAGGUUGUGUACCAGAGGAAUCUGUUGAAAGCAGGUUUUGGUAUAGGUCUUGAGACUUGAUGGAAGCUUCCACGAAAAUGAUUCGGAAGCAGAAUUAUGGUAACAGAUAGGAGCGGCAUGGAAUAUAAUUCGGUUGGCUGCGUUUAUUGGACCUGAAGAAUGUUACAUACAAGUUGAAUCCUGACUUUAUCAUAUGUAGUUACUAGUUAUCACUUAUCAUAAGCUUCUUCUCAUGUAAUGGUUAACUUUCCUAAUCCCUAUACUCUGACAUAGGAUAUAGGCCUCUUGCUCUAGAGACUAUGUGCAUACUGUAGAAUCUUGCCCUUACAUAAAACCCUCAAGUAUCUCCCCUUUCUUUCUAAACUCUUUUGGAUUUUUUUUCUUACCAUCAUCUUUAAUCAUUCUCACUUCUAUGCUGAUUAUACUUUUGUUCUUUGACUCACUUCAUCGCUGUCGUUCAAGCCGACUAGAUGUUAUGCAGUUUGCUAGUUACUACCUUUCCCUAUCAGUUUAUGUCUUCCGGUUAUCUUUCUUUCUCUUUAUUGAUAUUUAUUUCUUAGCUAUUCCCAGUGAGGGUUUUGUUUUCCCCUUUCCUAUCUUUUCUGUUUUUUCCGAUGAAAAGUUAGAAGGGAUUUGUAGUAGUCUUUUGCUGCAUUUUCUACUGUUUUCUAGGAUUAAUCAAUGUCGUUCAAUCAGUUAAUUAACCACCUGCUAUUUUCCUUCUGGUUCUGAGUAAUAGUAUUGCUUAUUUCUUUAGUCCCAAUCCUAACCUGCCUUUUCUUUCACUUUCAUGGAGAGUGUUGGCUAUGUUAUGCCAAAAUUUAAGGAAAGCAAAACUUCACCGAUGCUGUUUCAGUUAUGGCUCAUGAGAUGUGGUCAGUUGCAAAUCGUUUUCGCCACUAUGUCCUAUGUGGCUCGUAAAUUUGUUUGUUUCUUCAGUAACUUGUUUGAUGUGCUGAAAUAAAAUGUUAAUGACUAUUAUCUACUUGACAUUAUGUAUCUGAAUUAAAUACUUGUUUUCUUUAAGUUG